rnacentral:tRNA from 1 species
UGUGGCUCAAUGGUAGAGCGCUUGUCUAGCAUGUAUAAGGCCCUGGGUUAGAACCCCAGCA